GACGAACGCUGGCGGCGUGCUUAACACAUGCAAGUCGAACGGAAAGGCCCUGCUUUUGGGGUACUCGCGUGGCGAACGGGUGAGUGACACACGGGUGAUCCGCCCUCCUCUCCGUGAUAUACCUUCGAGACAGGGUGUAAUAUAGGAUAGAGGCCAUCUUUAGGCUGAUGGUUGGAUAGUUAUUUCCGGGUGGGAUGAGCUCGCGGGCUGACUGCUUGGUGGUGGGGUAAGGGCCUACCAAGGCGGCGUCGGGUAGCCGGCCUGCGGGGGUGGACGGCCACCUUGGGGCCGAGGUACGGCCCAGGCUCCUACGGGAGGGCACAGUGGGGAAUAUUGCACAAUGGGCGCAAGGCUGGUGGAGCGACGCCGCGUGGCGGAUGACGGCCUUCGGGUUGUAAACCCCUUUCGCUAGGGACGAAGCUUUUUGUGACGGUACCUAGUUAAGAAGCACCGGCUAACUACGUG
rnacentral:rRNA from 1 species